AUAUUGCACAAUGGGGGAAACCCUGAUGCAGCGACGCCGCGUGAGUGAAGAAGUAUUUNGGUAAGNANAGCUCUAUCAGCAGGGANAAAAAGGACGGUACCUGACUAAGGAGCCCCGGCUAACUACGUGCCCGCAGCCGCGUUAAGACGUAGGGGGCAAGCGUUAUCCGGAUUUACUGGGUGUAAAGGGAGCGUAGGUGGCGAGUCAAGUCAGAUGUGAAAGCCCGGGGCUCAACCCCGGGAUUGCAUUUGAAACUGGUUUGCUAGAGUGCAGGAGAGGUAAGUGGAAUUCCUAGUGUAGCGGUGAAAUGCGUAGAUAUUAGGAGGAACACCAGUGGCGAAGGCGGCUUACUGGACUGUAACUGACACUGAGGCUCGAAAGCGUGGGGAGCAAACA
rnacentral:rRNA from 1 species